GACGAACGCUGGCGGCGUGCCUAACACAUGCAAGUCGAGCGAGUUGAUUCUCUUCGGAGAUGAAGCUAGCGGCGGACGGGUGAGUAACACGUGGGCAACCUGCCUCAUAGAGGGGAAUAGCCUCCCGAAAGGGAGAUUAAUACCGCAUAAGAUUGUAGCUUCGCAUGAAGUAGCAAUUAAAGGAGCAAUCCGCUAUGAGAUGGGCCCGCGGCGCAUUAGGUAGUUGGUGAGGUAACGGCUCACCAAGGCGACGAUGCGUAGCCGACCUGAGAGGGUGAUCGGCCACAUUGGGACUGAGACGCGGCCCAGACUCCUACGGGAGGCAGCAGUGGGGAAUAUUGCACAAUGGGGGAAACCCUGAUGCAGCAACGCCGCGUGAGUGAUGACGGCCUUCGGGUUGUAAAGCUCUGUCUUCAGGGACGAUAAUGACGGUACCUGAGGAGGAAGCCACGGCUAACUACGUGCCAGCCGCCGCGGUAA
rnacentral:rRNA from 1 species